rnacentral:rRNA from 1 species
AGUUUGAUCAUGGCUCAGGACGAACGCUGGCGGCAGGCUUAACACAUGCAAGUCGAGCGGGCGUAGCAAUACGUCAGCGGCAGACGGGUGAGUAACGCGUGGGAACGUACCUUUUGGUUCGGAACAACACAGGGAAACUUGUGCUAAUACCGAAUGUGCCCUUACGGGGAAAGAUUUAUCGCCAAUGGAUUAGCCCGCGUCCGAUUAGCUAGUUGGUGAGGUAACGGCUCACCAAGGCUCCGAUCGGUAGCUGUUCUGAGAGGAAGAUCAGCCACACUGGGACUGAGACACGGCCCAGACUCCUACGGGAGGCAGCAGUUGGGAAUCUUGGACAAUGGGGGAAACCCUGAUCCAGCCAUGCCGCGUGAGUGAUGAAGGCCUUCGGGUUGUAAAACUCUUUCGACGGGGACGAUAAUGACGGUACCCGUAGAAGAAGCCCCGGCUAACUUCGUG